rnacentral:rRNA from 1 species
AUUGAACGCUGGCGGCAUGCCUUACACAUGCAAGUCGAACGGCAGCGGGGGAGAAGCUUGCUUUUCCUGCCGGCGAGUGGCGAACGGGUGAGUAAUACAUCGGAACGUGCCCUGUAGUGUGGGAUAACUAGUCGAAAGACUAGCUAAUACCGCAUACGACCUGAGGGUGAAAGUGGGGGACCGCAAGGCCUCAUGCUAUAGGAGCGGCCGAUGUCUGAUUAGCUAGUUGGUGGGGUAAAGGCCUACCAAGGCCACGAUCAGUAUCUGGUCUGAGAGGACGAUCAGCCACACUGGGACUGAGACACGGCCCAGACUCGUACGGGAGGCAGCAGUGGGGAAUUUUGGACAAUGGGCGAAAGCCUGAUCCAGCAAUGCCGCGUGUGUGAAGAAGGCCUUCGGGUUGUAAAGCACUUUUGUCCGGAAAGAAAUGGCUCUGGUUAAUACCUGGGGUCGAUGACGGUACCGGAAGAGUAAGGACCGGCUAACUACGUGCCAGCCGCCGCGGUAA